AUCUGAAGCAGGGCAACAUGUGACAAUCACUUGCCAGUUACUUGAGAUUUUCACACAGGAUUCCUUCAGAGACACCAAGACAAGUGGCCCUGUUCACACAGCACAAUCCAGAGACACGAUAGAGAAUAAGGAUCGAACGGAGAGAAGACUUCAGAUCCAGUUGAGAAUGGAGCCAGCCACUUUGAAAAGAAAACAAGCAUAUUCCAGGCAGAAGGACAAUGGAUAUAAAUGGCCUGACUCCAAGUCCUUAGGGCCUGGCACACACAGAAGCAGGGGAGAGAUGUGCCAGCAACAUCAGGAGGUGGUCAGGAGUCACAGGAAAAGCAUUGAUGUUAUCUGAGGUGCAAAAGGGAGACAAUGACAUUUUCAACAAAGAACAGCAUGGAUUGUCUCACUUUUGGAAAGAUCUGACUGACUUGUGGCGAAUGGCUCCAAGAAAGGAAAAAUGGAGUCAGGUCAGGUCAGCUUCCUGGAGGACUUCAGAGAGAUGCUUCCACACCACUUCAAGCACAGCAACAGAGUUCUAAGAUGGCUGCCACUAUGCUAUCCAAUACAUCUCUGUUCAAGGCAGAAUGGAUGGAUAAACAAGUGUCCAAAAUCAUUACCCUUACCUAACACUCAACUUGGAAGACUUUGGCUUAGCCAGAAAUGGGUCACAGCACCACACUUAACUGCAAAGGAUCCAGAGAGAGCUGUGGAGAGUAUGCUGGACUGACUGACUCGUGCCGUGACGUGGGCAUCGUCUUCUGCAGUUUUCCUUGGUUUCAGAAGCUGUUGCACUUGCUCUUGGGCUACUGCUUGAAGUUGCAAACAUCACAACUUGAGUUCCAUAUCAGCACAGAGGCCAAUUAGGGAAACAGGAUCCACAGGCAGGUAACAGAGUCAGGGACAGCCCCACUCCAUUUGUUAGAGGGAGG